GACAGAGGGUGCAAACGUUGCUCGGAAUCACUGGGCGUAAAGGGCGUGUAGGCGGGAAGGAAAGUCAGAUGUGAAAUCCCUGGGCUCAACCCAGGAAUUGCAUUUGAAACUCCCUUUCUUGAGUACCGGAGAGGAAAGUGGAAUUCCUGGUGUAGAGGUGAAAUUCGUAGAUAUCAGGAGGAACACCAGUGGCGAAGGCGGCUUUCUGGACGGUAACUGACGCUGAGACGCGAAAGCGUGGGGAGCAAACAGG
rnacentral:rRNA from 1 species